UUGGUCUGCUAGACUACAAACUACACAUUUCGAUUUAGCAGACCAAUAUAAAAAU
ensembl:ncRNA B0432.17 ncRNA